UACAGAGGGGGGCAAGCGUUGUUCGGAAUUACUGGGCGUAAAGGGCUCGUAGGCGGCCAACUAAGUCACACGUGAAAUCCCCAGGCUUAACCUGGGAACUGCGUGUGAUACUGGAUGGCUUGAAUUCGGGAGAGGGAUGCAGAAUUCCAGGUGUAGCGGUGAAAUGCGUAGAUAUCUGGAGGAAUACCGGUGGCGAAGGCGGCAUCCUGGACCGACAUUGACGCUGAUGAGCGAAAGCUAGGGGAGCAAACGGG
rnacentral:rRNA from 1 species